CUAUCCUGCCAAAACUGCAAGAAACCUUUAUGAAGAAGGCAUAGAUUCCAGAAGGGCUUCCUAGAUUGUUCAGAGUCUGCCUGGAGAAGCAAUAAAACCAUCCCAGACCAUCGUGGGACGCUCUUUCACCUACAGCUACAGCCACUCUCUCCUUGUCUUAGAGGGAAGCUGGAUGCAAAGAAGACAACCCUGAGUUUUAUCACUAGAAGGAGAUGAAAACUGAGAAGGGACAAAAUAGAAACUGUGCUCCACCACUGCUAAUCAGCAGUAUGACUCUUGGAUGUGAAGGAAUCCCUCUAUCUCUUGGAGCUUUUUCUUAUCUACCAAAAGAAUGAGUUGGACAAGAUCUGCAAGAGCUAUUCCUCAGGAGUUUCCAGCAUCUGGGUCUAAUGAUGACCUCUGUUGAAGACAAUGGGGACAAAGAUGAGGUGGUGGCAUUAUUUUAUUUUCCAAAGCUCUGAAUAAAGUGGA